GCGGAGUUAGUUUAGCCUGGUAUAACGUCAGCUUCCCAAGUUGAAGGCCACGGGUUCAAAUCCCGUACUCCGCA
rnacentral:tRNA from 1 species